rnacentral:rRNA from 1 species
UGGGGAAUAUUGCACAAUGGGCGCAAGCCUGAUGCAGCCAUGCCGCGUGUGUGAAGAAGGCCUUCGGGUUGUAAGCACUUUCAGCGAGGAGGAAGGCAGUCGUGUUAAUAGCACGAUUGAUUGACGUUACUCGCAGAAGAAGCACCGGCUAACUCCGUGCCAGCAGCCGCGGUAAUACGGAGGGUGCAAGCGUUAAUCGGAAUUACUGGGCGUAAAGCGCACGCAGGCGGUUUGUUAAGUCAGAUGUGAAAUCCC